rnacentral:rRNA from 1 species
UACUCCUACGGGAGGCAGCAGUGAGGAAUAUUGGACAAUGGUCGGAAGACUGAUCCAGCCAUGCCGCGUGCAGGAAGACGGCCUUAUGGGUUGUAAACUGCUUUUGCAGGGGAAGAAUAAGGACUACGUGUAGUUUGAUGACGGUACUCUGCGAAUAAGCAUCGGCUAACUCCGUGCCAGCAGCCGCGGUAAUACGGAGGAUGCGAGCGUUAUCCGGAAUCAUUGGGUUUAAAGGGUCCGUAGGCGGGCUAAUAAGUCAGAGGUGAAAGCGCUCAGCUCAACUGAGCAACUGCCUUUGAAACUGUUAGUCUUGAAUGGUUGUGAAGUAGUUGGAAUGUGUAGUGUAGCGGUGAAAUGCUUAGAUAUUACACAGAACACCGAUAGCGAAGGCAUAUUACUAACAAUUAAUUGACGCUGAUGGACGAAAGCGUGGGGAGCGAACAGGAUUAGAUACCCUGGUAGUCCACGCUGUAAACGAUGGAUACUAGCUGUUUGGAUGAAAGUUUGAGUGGCUAAGCGAAAGUGAUAAGUAUCCCACCUGGGGAGUACGCACGCAAGUGUGAAACUCAAAGGAAUUGACGGA